AUGGAUGAUCUCAAUCUGCCCCUGGCUCAGCAGAUGCCCACUGCUUUGUCUUUUUCUUCACUUCAAGACCAAAGGUUGGACUCUCCCACCUCCAAGGGCCAACAACUUCUCAGCUCAUCUUCCCACAGUUUGGACUCUGUUGAUGAACAACUUCGGGCACAAUUUCUAGCUGAUCCAGCUUCUUCUGAUAAGGUCAUUCAGGACCAUGACCCUAUGCCUCAGGGGAAGCAGGUUCCCUUUUCAACUCCACAAGUUUCAAGUCACUCCACUAUGGAGUUGGUGCCAGUGCAAGCCUCCUCUACCAGUUUUGCCCAUGUUCAGAACAAAAGGAAGAGCAGACCUCCUCUUGUGGAAUCGGAGGUUAACCCAAAGGAUACCACUGAAGAUAUCCUCUCCAAGAAGAAAAUGAAGAAAGGAGGGAAGGGAGCAGUUAAGGACAAGGAGACCCUUGCUGCUUAG
rnacentral:rRNA from 1 species